GUGGGGAAUUUUGGACAAUGGGCGCAAGCCUGAUCCAGCAAUGCCGCGUGCAGGAAGAAGGCCUUCGGGUUGUAAACUGCUUUUGUACGGAACGAAACGGUCCGGGUUAAUACCCUGGGCUAAUGACGGUACCGUAAGAAUAAGCACCGGCUAACUACGUGCCAGCAGCCGCGGUAAUACGUAGGGUGCAAGCGUUAAUCGGAAUUACUGGGCGUAAAGCGUGCGCAGGCGGUUUUGUAAGAUCGAUGUGAAAUCCCCGGGCUCAACCUGGGAACUGCAUUGGUGACUGCAAGGCUGGAGUGCGGCAGAGGGGGAUGGAAUUCCGCGUGUAGCAGUGAAAUGCGUAGAUAUGCGGAGGAACACCGAUGGCGAAGGCAAUCCCCUGGGCCUGCACUGACGCUCAUGCACGAAAGCGUGGGGAGCAAACAGGAUUAGAAACCCCGGUAGUCC
rnacentral:rRNA from 1 species